GCCCCAGCAAGAAGAACUGAAAGGAAGAAAAGGAGAUUUUAGAAACCCUUUGUAUUUUAUGACUUGCUUCCCUCUUGCCGGUCCUGUUGAAUCAAGUUGUACACCAGUCAAACUGGACAAGACAUAUCAGCUCAUUGCACAUCUGCUUUCUUUGUUUAAUCUACAUACCCAUGAAACGUCUUGUAGGAGUGGUAUGAACUGUGCAAAAGUGCGACUGGAAAAAUUUUCUUAAAACAAAGAGAGACCGGGA